AGCAGCACACCUGAAACUCGGGCUCUGUCAUUUCUUCCCAGUCCUCUCAGAGGGCCAGGAGCGAGGGCAGCUGUCUCUGAAAUUUGGA
rnacentral:lncRNA from 1 species